UGAGGUGGUUGGGUAAAGCUCUUGUUCCCGUUUGAAGUUGCUCGUGUUUCUCAUUCACUAGAGCAUUUCUCAGCGUCGUUUUCCUCACUUUCAGUGGCUCGAGAGCUAAUCCUUCACUAUCACAGAGCAUCUUCCUCACUUUCAGGUCAGGGUUUCUCCCUCAUUUCCUCAUUUCCUCAUCUUCCACCGAUUAUAAUCUCAUUCUACCAAUUAUAAUCCCUUUCCACCAUUUAAAACCCCUUUUCCACCGAUCAAUCGGUCCAUUCUAGGGUUCCUUCACGAUUUUGCAUCGAUUAAACAAGUUCUCUUGAGGGUCUGAGGCAAACAUUUUGUAUUUUAGUUUCUUUUUGCCGCUUCAAUUUACGGUUAGAAGGUGGUCGUGAGCGUGUGCUACCAGGGAACAACUCUUACAACUCAGAGAGAGAAAAAUGCGAAUUCUCCAUCAAGUUGUAGUGGAAUUUGUUUCCUUGUGACAUCUUGAAUUUUGAGGAUAAAAUUUUCAUACAUAUCCUACAGUAGGAUAUGGAAGUAACAUCAUUCAUUGAUUGAAGAGGAAUAAAAAUAUUGUAUAGUUACCUUCAUUCGUGACCAUUCUUGCUUGAAUUCUGGCGAGUGUUCACUGUCGAUGGUGGCAACACUGGAGAAGUAGCUGAAGGGUGCUCUCAGUUGAAUUUUGUACUUCUUACAGAAGGGUACCCAAAACUGAG
rnacentral:sRNA from 1 species